UCCCUGGUGGUCUAGUGGUUAAGAUUCGGCGCCCUCACCGCCGCGGCCUGGGUUCGGUUCCCAGUUAGGGAA